GGCGGCGUAGCUCAGUUGGCUAGAGCAUACGGUUCAUACCCGUAGUGUCGGCGGUUCGACUCCGUUCGCCGCUACCA
rnacentral:tRNA from 2 species